UACGUAGGGUGCGAGCGUUAAUCGGAAUCACUGGGCGUAAAGGGUGCGUAGGCGGGUCUUUAAGUCAGGGGUGAAAUCCUGGAGCUCAACUCCAGAACUGCCUUUGAUACUGAAGAUCUUGAGUUCGGGAGAGGUGAGUGGAACUGCGAGUGUAGAGGUGAAAUUCGUAGAUAUUCGCAAGAACACCAGUGGCGAAGGCGGCUCACUGGCCCGAUACUGACGCUGAGGCACGAAAGCGUGGGGAGCAAACAGGG
rnacentral:rRNA from 1 species